UCCCUUGUAGCUCAGUCGGUAAAGAAUCUGCCUGCAGUGCAGGAGACCCAGGUUCAAUCCCUGGUUUGGGAA
rnacentral:tRNA from 1 species